CUUCCCAGCCAGGCACACAGACAGUUUCCAUUGCAGCUUCUACCACACCAGUGACCAGCACCCUGCAGGCAUAGGCACCCACCCACACUGUGAGCAGCUUGUGUGAGGUGGAGCAGCUGCCAGCCAGAGCCAGGAGAUCCUCAGCCUAAUGCCUGCUCCUCCCUCAUCAGUUCCCCUGCCUAUGACAGACUUGAAGAUUCACCUCACACAGGCGGGGUUAUAGAGGAGGCGGCACUGAGCAUCUUGGGAACAGACAAAACCUUUGAGCCUGUUGGUGCCUUGGAUCAAGAUCCUACUCUACACCCCGAUGUUAACCCUUGUGGAGCCCAGUGUACCUUGCAGAAAGAGAUUUAACAACGGUUCAUCUAUGGAAUGCCAAAUGAAGAGUGCUGAACAUCCUGUUUGGUAAAUUUUGGUAAUGUUUCAUCUACUGCAGAUUUUCCCGCCCUGGAGCUGCCACACACUCGCAGAUCUCUUGUGAACCGCACAGCGCAGCACGUGAAGCGACAAGGAAGAAGAACUGAAGGUAAAAUCAUGGCAGGUGGUUGUCCAUCGGAAUACAUGUGGAUGAAUGGAAGCACCAUGGGUUCAUCGCCACAUAAUUGUACCUGAGGAUGGCAGGCAAAACCUGCGCUGGUGGCUGCCAACCAUAAAAUAUGGGGACAAAGAGAAGCACGGCCCUGUCCACCACAACAUAACUGAAUCCAAGGAUGACAGACAUGAGUUGGAAAACAUGCAUAUAAGCUGGUGGGAGACCAUAUACAUCUAAAGAAUGCUGACAGCUAACAUAAGGAUUGGAAAUCGCGGACACACAGUGCCAUGGUAACAGCUGAACACGGCAGCAGAAGUGACGUACACGUUGCCAUAGGGACAAUGGAACAUGACAGCGGAAAUGACGGCGGGACGCCAAGAGACUCAUGGGACCUGGAGUGAAGGGAAGCGGCCGAGGUCCGCAAUGCCGAUUGGAAGGAGAGCGGAAACGGAGAUGGGGCGCGAACAGGCUCAUGGGACUUGUAGUUUUUUAAUGUAUAGGAGCCAACAGCGCCCGCUCCGCCACCAUAGGACGAGAGGUGGUUGUUUCCAAAGCGGAAAUGACGUGGGGAGGAUUAUGGGAAUGGUAGUUGCAUUCUAUUCAUGUGAUUCACCUGGGUCUGCUGCAUUGUGAUUGGCGGCAGGUUAUUUAAAAAGGGAGGAAAUGAUGGAGGAUGUUAUAUCACUGGAAGCCUUGAUAAAGACCCGAUGUAAAGGGGAGAAACGCGUUGGGUAUUUAUACCUGACUACCGGAGGGAGAUCCUGGACUUUCAACCAGACGGAAGGUGAAGGAGCCAUUGCAGUUGCUGUGGAAUUACAUAUUUAAAACGCCUUCUUUCAUCUAUAUCUGGUAAUUGCCCAAUUUUAGACUCUCCGUGUGGAUACCUUAUUUGCUGCUAGACACAUUGCACUUUUGUGUUAUUUGUUUGCUGCUACUGCACUGAAUAUUGUGUGUGGAUUAAUGUUUUUAUAUGUGCAUAUUAAAUGUUUUUAAAUUUACAAACGUAAAUGUACCCUUUUGAAAUUGUGCUUCACUAUAUGCACUUUUCUUUUCCUCUGUUUUGGAAUUUCAUACAUGAGGACUACUGACUACAGUGGCUCUCUGAUCUUCAUCUGAUGCGCUAGCUUGUAUGUAUCGGUGCCAUAUUUCUCUUUUCA